UUAAAUAUAAUAUUAUAUUAUAAUAUAUAUAAUAUAAAUUUAUUAAAUAUUAAAUUCUUUUUAAUUAUUUAAU
rnacentral:tRNA from 2 species